GUGAGACACUUGAUUUCUUUAUUAAACAUCCAAGACCGGGUUCAGAUGGAGGGGACGGGGGGCGCACACGCGCCAGGCGCACACGCGCGCGCAGGGAGCAGGGGCAGCAGCCCGAGCCCGGGAAGGCGGUCGGUUUCUUCUUCUUCUUCUUCUUCUUUUUCUUCUUCUUCUUCUUCUUCCUUCUCCGCUGUCCCUCCUCCUCCUCCACCGCCGCCUCCUCCUCCACCGCCUCCUCCUCCACCGCCUCUGCUCUUCCUCCUCCUCCUCCCCGGUCUCGAUGGCGGACUCGCGCAGGGGGCGAGAUCACUCACGUGUUUAUUGAGCAUUUACUACCUGCCUACUGUGGAAACUCAACAGCCAUAGAGAAUGUCCUAGUCCUAUUGGUGUUUAUAUUAUACUGGGGGAGAGCAGACAAGGAGUCCCCUGAUAUCUAGCCUUUGCUUAUGUGCUACCUUCUCCCAGAGGUCCACCUUAUCUCUCUCUCUCUCGCUCUCUCUCCACACACACACACACACACACACACACACACACUCCUCAUCCCAUUUCCCCUUUUUUACUUUUGCCCAUGGCUUAUCAGUAUGGCACAAGUUAUGUGCAGUUUUCUCUUUGAGGUCCUCUCCAGAUAUAAGCUGCGUUGGGAAGUCAGGUUUUUGCCUCUUUGGUUCCAUUAUUUCCCUAAUGAUGGCAAAGCCCCAGGUGUUUUGUUAGGGAACCCCCCAAUAUUUGUGGGCUGGAUGAAAAGAAAGCAAACACAUAUGUACCAUAGUUUCAGAGCAAUGAGCCCCGGGAAGAUGUUCAAACUGGGUGCUGUGAUAGGUCCCAAAGGAGAAGGCGGCUCCAGAUUCAUCAUUCCAGCCGAGGCGGCCUGAAGCCAGUGUGUGACCACUGAGCACCUCGGCAGACCAGGCACCUCUCAAGGAGUUGUGGACCUAUCAGUGAGCGGGGUAAACCUGGACCUGCCCUCAGGGAACUCUCCUUCCAGUGGGAGGUGCAAACAAGUAAGAGGAAGCCUGCCCAGAUGCAUCCCAUGGGAUUCAAACUUCUCCAGUCCAUUUCUUGUUAAAGCAGAGACUCAAGGGAGAGUAUGGUUGUCCAUAUUGAAGCCCCCCUGGCAGGGAGAACUCAUUCAUGCUUGGACACCACGGCCAUGAUAACCUUGGAAGUGGACCCAGGAGGCUUCCAGGAGCUGUGGUGUUCACAGGCAGGGUGCUGGUUACCGCGGUACACUCACUCUAUGGACAUCAAUUAGCCAUACACCUCAGAUUUGUGUACUCCUGCAUAUUUGUUGGAAAAUGUAAUUCAUUCACAUCCAGCCGAAAACACCUUAUCCGUUGGAGAUGCUUGCUCAACCAACACAGAAUGGUUGCUGAGUGGGCAGGGAAGAGGCAUGAACAUCUCUUACGUUUCUCCCUUGGAGUUGGCUACCUACAGUUGGUGACAGUGUUUUGCUACUGCUGAGGAAUCCAGAACAAGUCUCUGGCCCAGUAAUCCAUUGCUGAACUUCAUUAACCGCAGGAAGACCUUAAGUGAACGUAAGGACCGGAACAGUCUGGGGACUAGGUGACUGCAGCCUUUAAGUCCCAGGCUCUGGUAUAUUUUAUGCCAACUCAACUGUGUAUCAACCUCGUCUUCCUGGACUCAUUAGAAUUGUGUGCCCAAAGGUGCCCUCAACUUUCAGAAGCAAAUACAGAAUGAUAUAAUUCGC